GAUGAACGCUGGCGGCGUGCCUAAUACAUGCAAGUCGAGCAAAUGGAUUAAGAGCUUGCUCUUAUGAAGUUAGCGUCGGACGGGUGAGUAACACGUGGGUAACCUGCCCAUAAGACUGGGAUAACUCCGGGAACCCGGGGCUAAUACCGGAUAACAUUUUGAACCGCAUGGUUCGAAAUUGAAAGGGGCUUCGGCUGUCACUUAUGGAUGGACCCGCGUCGCAUUAGGUAGUUGGUGAGGUAACGGCCCACUAAGGCAACGAUGCGUAGCCGACCUGAGAGGGUGAUCGGCCACACUGGGACUGAGACACGGCCCAGACUCCUACGGGAGGCAGCAGUAGGGAAUCUUCCGCAAUGGACGAAAGUCUGACGGAGCAACGCCGCGUGAGUGAUGAAGGCUUUCGGGUCGUAAAACUCUGUUGUUAGGGAAGAACAAGUGCUAGUUGAAUAAGCUGGCACCUUGACGGUACCUAACCAGAAAGCCACGGCUAACUACGUGCCAGCAGCCGCGGUAA
rnacentral:rRNA from 1 species